ACAUGAAUACAGAAAUCGUCAAAAUAUAAAAGAUAUUAUCACACAGAUUUAUGUAAAUACGAAUUGUAAAUAUAUUUUAACUAUGUAAUUCUAAUAGUAAUGAUAAUAAUAAUUAAAUAAUAAUUAAUUUGAAUAUUAAUAAUCUAAUUAUAUGUCCUGACGAUAUUUUCACCUUGCUCUUGCACCAAAUAUAAUUGAAGUAAACCAAAAGUAUGAAGCUUUAGUCGACAAGGAUCUCAAGAGAAAUUGGCCAAUUAUAUGUUGCGAAUAAAUCUACAAAAUAUUCCGAAUUAACGUAUGUUCAUUGAAGGCCAAACUGGAAAUAGUAGGAGGAAAAGAGGAGAGGAAGAGAUGAAAGUUAGUGAAAAGGAUGCAAGCAGUAGAUGAAGCAGAUAGAUAGUAUUAGAUAGGAUGGCCUUCAUUGUGUUCUCUGGCAAAUUUUGUUGGACAAUGAGAAAGGUUGAUUUGGCCCUCAUGAAUGUAUAUUACAUUAGCGCCCAUGCUACUUUGGGAUUUGAGUUAACAAGUUUUCGCAUCCUCCAUGACUCUUCUUGUCUUCCAUUUCGCUUUUCGCAUUCUUUUGCGAAUGUUUUUCAUUUUCUCCAAUCGAAUAAAUGCCAAUAAACAUGGAUGAAUCUUCGAUCGAUCGAAGAUUUGGAACGAAACAACUUCUUUCUCGUUGCAGAAAUAUUGGAAUCAACGAUUCAAUGCAAUUCAGCGAAACAUUUUUACGAAACUGGAAGAAGGAAUGAUUAACGAGUUAUGUUUCACGAUCGUCUCGUAUCAGAUGCGAUCUGAACUUUGGAGAGGAUCUAAUAGAAGGUUUUAAUCAGUGUCUUCGAUAAACCAUCGAAGGAAAGAGAGAUUCUCAAAUCGGCAAACGGUGGGAGUAGAAACAAACGUUAGACAGGCUCGGAGAUCCGAGGCUGGUAUUUACAGAAGCAAUCUAGAACAGGCAAACCAGAAUCGUUUCUAUCCUCCUCUCCCUUUCUCUUUCCCUUCUUCUCUUUCGGCGAAGAUGGUGGUGCUCGAAGAGCAUUUGUGUGCCGUUUGCAAGGUAGGUGGUGAGGCAUCUGAGGGAUGCAUUAGCGGUCUGAAAAUGCGCCAGUGAGUGGCACAGGUUUGUGUGGCAGAUAGAGAAAUGCACGCGCUUAAGAAACGGGCGCUAAACAAAAUAUACGUCGUUCAAGCCGUCAAAAUGAAAAUAUUUCAUGCAAACGGAACGAAUACGAAAGAAUCCACGGAUAAAGAUACAUUCGAUCAAAGUAGUAUAAAUAUUGAAGAGGAUAAACAGGAAGAAAAAGGAAAUGGUUUAGAGAGAGAAAUGAAAAGUAAAGGUGGAAAAUGAAAAGCAAAUACAAUAAUGUAACAAGAAAGUAAGAAGAAUAAAGAGAAUAAAUAGACUGGGUAGUUGGUAUUGGUCUAUAUUAUAAGUUUCGACUCAAGGCAAUUGGCAAUGAACGAUACAAACUAUUUAUUAAUUUUAAAUAGUGAUCUCAUCUUGCUCGCUGUCUGUUUAAAAUUAAAGAGAAUACUAUUUGAAAAUGAUCUGCUAAUUUUUAGAUAUAAUGGAUAAUCCAUGAAUUGCAACUCAGGGAUCUAAAAAUCUGGUUUAUUUUCAAUUAUUUAUGUGGACAAUGAAAAAUUUCAAGAUUUAUUAAUUUCAAUGUAAGCAUAUAGAAACACAAUAAAUGGAAAUGAUAUAUAA